GGUAUGCACUGGCUUUGCUGGUUCCUCCUUUCUGAAGAACUGUAAUGCCAUUAAUUUGGUGUUGCAGGGAAACAGGACUGUUACUUUGAAAAAAUUAGAGUGUUUAAAGCAGGCUAACGCUUGAAUACAUUAGCAUGGAAUAAUGAAAUAGGACGUUCGACCCUAUUUUGUUGGUUUCUAGGAUUGACGUAAUGAUUAAUAGGGAUAGUUGGGGGCAUUAGUAUUCAAUUGUCAGAGGUGAAAUUCUUGGAUUUAUUGAAGACUAACUACUGCGAAAGCAUUUGCCAAGGAUGUUUUCAUUAAUCAAGAACGAAAGUUAGGGGAUCGAAGACGAUCAGAUACCGUCGUAGUCUUAACCAUAAACUAUGCCGACUAGGGAUCGGAUGAUGUUAAUUUUUUAAUGACUCAUUCGGCGCCUUACG
rnacentral:rRNA from 1 species